rnacentral:rRNA from 1 species
CCCUUAGAUGUUCUGGGCCGCACGCGUGCUACACUGAGUGGAUCAGCGGGUCAGGUUGCGCGAAAGCGUUUCCUAAUCUUUAAAUCCGCUCGUGAUGGGGAUUGACGGUUGCAAUUUUCUGUCAUGAACGAGGAAUACCUUGUAAGCGCGGGUCAUCAUCCCGCGCUGAAUACGUCCCUGCCCUUUGUACACACCGCCCGUCGCUCCUACCGAUUGAAUGAUCCGAUGAAUACCAUGGAUUGAGAGUACGAAUAGGUUCGCUUAUUCCUGCUGCUCGAGAAGUGGAGUAAAUCUUAUCAUUUAGAGGAAGGAGAAGUCGUAACA